rnacentral:lncRNA from 10 species
AGAGCCAGCCCAACCUCGACGGAGGGUGGGAGGACUAGAGAUUGCGUUCAAUUCGGUGGCAAAUGAGUCAACCAAUUGUGCCUAUGUAAUGAAAACUCUGGACGCCAAAAUUUGGUGGAGCUUCCUGGUUGGUGAACACAUCCAUGUGCCAGGAGGGUGACACAACCUGAUUCACAGAGAGAAGACACAGAAGCUCUGCAUGGAAGACCCGCCCAGACCCCGCCCUACGUGUGUCUUCAUUAGUCUGGUCCUCCUGAUUUGUAUCCUUUGUAACAAGCCUGUAAUCAACUUUCUCAGUUGUGUGUGUGAGUACGCCUGGCUUUUCAUCAAAGAGCUUUGCCGUCUUGAUGCUUCCUUUUCUGUGAACACAGCAAUAAAUAGAUUCUGCAGAACAAAUGACCAGGAGAAAGGACUUUGUGCUCCUUCACCUCAGAAACCUGAACUCAGAAUUUCCUUGUAGACACUUUUCAGGCCUUUGUUUGCUGGAGACUGGAGUUCCCUGAGAGGAUUAAGGGUGUGGUGGGGAGUGUCUAAAGGAGCCCAGUGCCUUGAGGGCAGCCAAGAAGACAGAGGCCCUGGACUGGAUACCGGCUGAGGUAGGUGGAUCCCUGUGGGGUGGAGACCAUCCCCAGCUCCACAGCCCCAGGCAUGUCAAGGGCUAUCAUCAAGGCCUCAGAGGAGACCAGCUGCCUGGGGCACCUCAGGAAGCUAUACCCUGACACCUGGACUCCAGAGUCCACAAAUAUAUCUGUACCCAAACCAGUGGGCAAGCAAAGAAGCCCUUGCCUUUGGGAGACCUCAGGAUGUUGGCCAUGAGAACAUCAUGGAUGGGCGCGGUGGCUCGCUCCUGUAAUCCCAGCACUUUGGGAGGCCAAGGCGGGUGGAUCACCUGA